rnacentral:rRNA from 1 species
CCUACGGGGAGCAGCAGUGAGGAAUAUUGGUCAAUGGCCGGAAGGCUGAACCAGCCAUGCCGCGUGAAGGUCAGUGCCCUAUGGGCGUUAAACUUCUUUUGUGCGGGAGCAAUAAUGGUCACGUGUGGCCAGACGAGAGUACCGUACGAAUAAGCAUCGGCUAACUCCGUGCCAGCAGCAGCGGUAAUUCGGGGGAUGCAAGCGUUAUCCGGAUUGCUUUGGUGUAAAGGGUUCGUAGUGUGUGAGGUAAGUCAGUGGGUAAAUGCCCCAGCGCAACGGGGUGAAGCGACAUUGAUACUGCCUUGCUGGAAUGCGGAUGCCGUAGGAGGAAUGUGUGGUGUAGCGGUGAAAUGCAUAGAUAUCACACAGAACACCGAUUGCGAAGGCAUCUCACGAAUCCGCGAUUGACGCUGAUGCACGAAAGCGUGGGUAUCAAACAGGAUUAGAUACCCGGGUAGUC